UCGAUAUUAUAUAAUAUUACUUUGAUGUGUAAUGCAAGGCAUGAGUUUUCUCUCUGGCAGGGUUCAGAACGGAAUGAGAGGUAGAACGGAAUCAAAGGUAAUUAGAGGAAGCAGGAAAUAAGAGAGAGUGUAUGAUAAGAGAACCAACAUCAAAGGAAAAGAAAAGAAGAGUAUUCUCAAAUUUAAACGAAAUUUCUUUUUAGGGUUCAGAAUGGAAUGAGAGGUAGAACGGAAUCAAAGGUAAUUAGAGGAAACAGGAAAUAAGAGAGGCUGUAUAAUAAGAGAACCAACAUCAAAGGAAAAGAAAAGAAGAGUAUUUUCAAAUUUAAGCGAAAUUUCUUUUUAGGUUUCAGAAUGGAAUGAGAGGUAGAACGGAAUCAAAGGUAGUUAGAGGAAACAGGAAAUAAGAGAGGCUGCAUGAUAAGAGAACCAACAUCAAAGGAAAAGAAAAGAAGAGUAUUCUCAAAUUCAAGCGAAAUUUCUUUUUAGGUAAUAUCAAAUUUAUUUAUAUCACUUGCAUUUUUCUAUCUAUAUUAUAUAAUAUUACUUUGAUGUGUAAUGCAAGGCAUGUGUUUUCUCUCUGGCAGGCAUUAGAUGGAAUG